GUGAAAGAUGAGGGGAAAGAAGUGCGCGUAAAAAACUGAAAGCCUCUGCACUCACAUCAAUGCCCUCAGCUGUAGGAUUGUACGGAGGAAGAACAAGUAAACUUUUCUCAUUGGAUCGCGCCUCUCUCUCCUGUCCGUCAUCAAUUAUGUUUGAGUCUGCUGUGAGCCGUAAUCAAGCUGCAGAUCCGCCUCAGCUGUUGCAGGAAGACCCGGCCCCUCCACCGCUGCAUCACCGUUUCUAUGGGACCCGGGCAGCCAAUGACAUUGUCACACCUGCUGUGAGAGCCAACAAGGACAGAAGGAGGGCGGAGAAGCCUCUACGUCUGCUGGAAAUCAAUGAACCACUGCACCGCUGAUACACGCAUCAAACAUACCCCUGAUUGUUUUAUUGGUAGAAGGUUUAUUUAAAUGUUAAAAAUGUCAUUUUUAUCACAGAAAUAAGUGAAUUUCCACUAAAGUGAGUUUAGUAAUUGCAGAGUGGAGACAGCAGACAACCUUAAUUACAAUUUAAUGCUUUGCUUUCAUUUGAUGUCCCAGCUGCUCUCCAAAGGAGUUUCACAGCUGUCAUUUUCCAUCAGCUCUUUGUAGUAGACAAAGUUAUUA